AGUUGCAGCGGCCUGGCCACCUCAGGAGCACGCUGUCUCUUCCCGACGUGCAGCCCGGGGCCCGGCCCUGUCCCCGGGUGACUGCUCCCCGGCAGGACUGCACAUCUGUGGCGGCAGGCCCAGCUCAGGGCUCGGGGGAGGUUCGGCCUUGCCUUCAAAGAGCUCCCUCUCCUGCAGGGCGAGCGCAGAGCGGCGGGCGAGACCACACUGCGUGUGCUGAGGGCGCACUGGUCUUAGCGGGAGGGAAGCCUCACGAGCCUGUACACUUGGAGGAGCCCUAAGCGUUAGGAUCUGCUGCGAGGGCUGCCUGGAACGGAGGUGAGAGGAUACAAGUGGCCCGGGGCAAGCAUAGUGAAUCACUGGCUAAUCUGGCCUUCGAGGUAGUGAAAGGAAAAAAGGGAAAUGAAGCUGACUGUGGCUGAAUGUAGUAGGUCUUGAAGGCCAAAUGGGGCGAUCUGAUUUUUAUUCUAGAAGCAGAGGAGAAACUAAAGAUUUUUUUAGGAGACUAUAUUCAAGCUUGUAUCAUUAGUUCAUCAGACGUUUAUGGACCACCCACCGUCCGUGCACUCACGGGGCUUGCAGUCUAUCUGGCUGAAUCACUUUGGCAGCCAGUGUGAGGAGGGCACAGAAAGGAGACCAGGUGAGAAAGCCAGCCUGACCAAAGAAGAUGUGGCAACUGAUGGGAUUGGAGGAGGCGGACAAUGUCCUCCAGACAGCUGGACUGGCUCUCUAUAUAUUUAUUUAUCUCUUCUACACCUCCAGCCCCCACCUCCACACUCACUAACUGGACUCAACUAGUGGGGGCAAAGGACAGACUAGAUUUUAGUGAAAUGGAAUUUCUACCUCCAGCGGCCCCUGGAACAGUAGCACACAACGAUCUAACAACUGCUUGUAUGAUUGGAUGGUGUAAGUGCGGACAGAAUUAGGGAAUUUGGGCUACUCUGGGCACACUGCUUAUGGGGCAGCCCUGCUCCGCAAGGAAAAUAAACACAUUUUUUUAAAAAAAGGCCGGGCGCGGUGGCUCACGCCUGUAAUCCCAGCACUUUGGGAGGCCAAGGCAGGCGGAUCACGAGGUCAGGAGAUCGAGACCAUCCUGGCUAACACGGUGAAACCCCAUCUCUACUAAAAAUACAAAAAAUUAGCCGGGCGUGGUGGCGGGCGUCUGUAGUCCCAGCUACUCGGGAGACUGAGACAGAAUGGUGUGAACCCGGGAGGCAGAGCUUGCAGUGAGCCGAGAUCGCACCACUGCACUCCAGCCUGAGCAAUAGAGCAAGACUCUGUCUCAAAAAAAAAAAAAAAAAAAAAAAAAAGGCCGGGUGCGUUGGCUCACGCCUGUAAUCCCAGCACUUUGGGAGGCUGAGGCGGGCAGAUCACCUGAGGUCAGGAGUUUGAGAACAGCCUGGCCAACAUGGUGAAACCCCGUCUCUACUGAAAAUACAAAAAUUAGCCAGGCAUGGUGGCGCAAGCCUGUAAUCCCAGCUACUCGGGAGGCUGAGGCAGAAGAAUUGCUUGAACCUGGGAGGCGGAGGUUGCAGUGAGCCGAGAUCAAGCCACUGCACUCCAGCCUGGAGUGCAGGGCAAGACUCCGUCUCAAAAAAAAAAAAAAAAGGGAAUUCGGAGACCAGCCUGGGCAACACAGUGAAACCCCAUCUCUACUAAAAUACAUUUAAAAAAAAAUUAGCUGGGCAUGGUGGUGUGCGCCUGUUGUCCCAGCUACUUGGGAGGCUGAGGCAGGAGAAUUGCUUGAACCUGGGAGGCAGAGGGUGCAGUAAGCCGAGAUCAUGCCACUGCACUACAGCCUGGGCAACAGAGCAAGACUCGUCUCCAGAAAAAAAAAAAAAAAAAAAAAAGAUGUUCAUAAAUGGUAGGAUAGGCUGGGGAUGGAGGCUCACACCUGUAAUCCUAGCACUUUGUAAGGCUGAGGCAGGCAGAUCACUUGAGCUCACAAGUUCGAGCCUGGGCAACAUCGUGAGACCCCGGCUCUACAAAAAAUACAAAAAAUCAGCUGGGCAUGGUGAUGCAUGCCUAUAGUCCCAGCUACUCUGGAGGCUGAGGUGGGAGGAUGACUUGAGCCCAGGAAGUGGAGGUUGCAGUAAGCCAAGACUGCGCCACUGCACUCCAGUCUGAGUGAUAGAAACCUUGUCUCUAAAUAAAUAAAUAAAUAAAUAAAUAACUCCACAAAUGGUGGGAUAUAGCUAUGUGAAAGUUUAGUCCUAGAGUUUAGGUAAGAGGUCUGAGCCAAAGUACAGAUAUGACCCAGCCUAUUAGUACCCAUCCUUGAAAGGAAAUGGCAGAAUUCACUGUUUAAAAGGCUCCAACACUAAGGUCCUAACUGAUCUGGUCCCUGCCUUGUCCUCUCAUUCUACCUGUGACACUCUCCUGGGCCCCACCCAGUGCUUUAACCAUUCCCCGAGGAUGUCAGCAUCUUUCAUACCCCCCUCAACCCUCAAACCUUGCCCCCUGGCUCAGCACAAGGAACAGUCAGGUCUCCUAGGCAGUAAAUCACUCCCUCCUCUUGCUCCCACAAUUGUAAUUAUAUGCUUAUCUGCAUCGCAAAACUAUAAGCUCCUCUCAGCAUGGGCCAUGUUUUGUCAUCUCUGUAUCUCCAGCAUCUGGCCCGUUAUCUGGUACUCAGUUGGCCCUCUACCUUUGUUGAAUGAAUGUUAGUGUGAAUGGGAUGACGUGGGAAAGGAAGAGAGGCCAAGGGAACCAGAGUCAAGUGGAGAGGACAAUAAGAAUUAGAAAGCCUUUCCAUUUCCCUUGGGAACAGUAUCACUGAGUCCAUAAAUAUUUAUUGAAAGCCUGUGUUCCAGGUAUACUCUAAUGACUUCAGGUUCACACCUGACUCCAAAGCCAUGAGUUUAAAUGUUCCAAUUAGUACCUGUGUGACCUUAUGUAAGUUGCUGAACCUCUAUAAAAUUGGAGCAAUAAGAGUUCCUAUCUCAUAGGAUUGCUGUAAAGACUGAAAGAGAUAACACAUGUAAGGUGUUCAGCACUGUUUCUGUCUCAACAUUUAAUGGACAAGGUGGGAAAGUGCCCAAAGUAUCAGGAAGGUACAUACUUAUAUGUAGAUUCAUGAGCAUUCUUUUAAUAAUCUUUCCUAAACAGUUACUGUGUGCAAACCACUGUUGUGAGAGCACUAUUGAGAGAUUUUGGAUUAAAUGUCCAUCAUAAGAGUGCACUAGAGACAAAGCAGACUAUUAUAGAUGAUGAAACUGUCCCAGAGGCCAAACACAGCAGUGAUAGGAAACUUCAACUGUGUUUUUAUUUACCUGGACCACAUUUGUAAAUGACCAUGGCAGGCCCUCAAUAAAUGCUGACUGACUACAUGAAUGAACAUGCUCAAAGACAGUUGUUCAGCUCUUGUCCCAGGUUCUAUCAUACCCCUCUCCCCCUUCCUGAGUUUCUUUUGUUCAGUUUGGCAAACAGUGAAUGGAUGUUUGCCAAAUAUUUGAGGAUGCUCAAAUAUCUGAUAUAGACCACUUAGCCCCAAAUCCUACCAAAUGGCAUCUUCAUGGCCCUGGGGUUCCUGCAAAACACUCAGUCUGAUGGAAAAGACAGACAUAUAGAUGAGCAAUUAUAUAUGUGGUGAGUGUUCCCAUAGAGAUAAACCCAGAGGGUUAUGAAAGCACUGGGGUGCGGGGGCACCUUAACUCAGUAUGGAGGCUAAUUCUUAAAGGUGAUGCAAAAAUGACACUUAAUUGAGCAUUAAAGGUCACUUUCUAGGCCGCGUAAGGUGGCUCAUGCCUGUAAUCCCAGCACUUUAGGAGGCUGAGGUCGGUGGAUCACCUGAGGUCAGGAGUUCGAGACCAGACUGGCCAACAUGGUGAAACCCUGUCUCUACUAAAAAAUACACAAAAAUUAGCCAGGCCUGGUGGCAGGCGCCUGAAAUUCCAGCUACUCAGGAGGCUGAGGCAGGAGAACCACUUGAAGGCAGGAGGCGGAGGUUGCAGUGAGCUGAGGUUGUACCACUGCACUCCAGCCUGGGCGACAAGAGCGAGACUCCAUCUCAAAAAAAAAAAAAAGAAAGAAAAAAAAGGACACUUUCUAGGAAGCAGGGAAAGGCAUUCUAAGUGGAGCGAAGCAUGUAUGUGAAGGCAUAGAAGCAAGAGAUGUGGCGGGUUUGGGAACGCUAAGUAGUUUGGUAUGACUCCAGUUCAGAGGGCAUAUGGGAGGGCAAGAAAGGUAGGCAUGAGUCAGUUUAUGAAGAGCCUUGUAUGCCACAGCAAGAAGACUGGAUUUUAUUCUGUAUAUGUUUUUCAGCCCUGGCUGCAACUAGAAUCAACUGGGGAGCUUUUAAAAUAUCAGUGCCUGGCUCUCACCUCCAGAUUGAUGCUAGAUGGUUGUUCUUAAUGGGAAGAGGCCAAAGCAUGUUUAUAUGCUGUAUGGAGAGUGACAAUGGGAUCCAGCAUACACAUGAAGAGAGUAGCCUCUGGCUAAGGAGAACGGAAAUAGAGUAAGUUCGUCAGUGGAAUGGGAGGAAAUUGAGGGAGUUUUGUCUAAAGGAGUCUAUUUUUUCCUUCAGUCAGAUGUUAGGUAGUUGCUGAACAUGGGGGAUGGGUAGGUGAUGGGAUAAAGAAUUGUAGGGAAGUGGUUCACUCUGGAGUAACUGAUGAUGGAAUGCUGGGAAAGCUUAGUGAACAGCUAAGUGGAAGGCCCCACUGGGUGGGAGACCAUAAGGAGUGUACCAGUUUAGAAGGCUGUGAUGUUUUCCGCAGAGCUAAGUGAGUGGGAGUCAGGAGAGCAGAAAUAGGACCAUUUGGGAUCUGCAGGGAAGCGAGAUGGAAGGCCUUGCUUGGGAGAGGGUUCAGUGAAGGCUGAGUAGAUGAAACUAAACCAAGGGUACACUGAUAAACUGGAUAAACUGAAGAGGUCAAGGAACUCAUAGGUUUGAUAAGGAUGAAGGCCAGGUGUAGUGGGGAAAGAAAACCCAGUCCAACAACUAAAAUUCCAUCCAUUUCAUGGAGCCUUCCUGACUAAUGGGAAAUGAGGUGGCAACUUCCCCCAGGUCCCACCCUGUCUGACUCACUCCUCACUCACUGCUCUUCAAAGGGCCCGUCUCCAUCCUCUUUCUCAAGAAGAGAAACCAUGGAUGUUGUUUCUAAAAGUUCAGCCUGAAAACCACUGUCUGUAUGAACUCAAUUCCCAUGAUUUUUUGAGGCUUUAUAUGUUUCAGCACAAAUAUUAAAUGGAGGUAGGAUAGAGAAGCAGAAAUGGCAAUGAGGAAAAAAAUGGAAAAAGGUAUGCCUGCAUGUUCAUGAGUGAGUCAGCAGAAGAGUGGAGGGAAAAGACAAUAAGACACGGGGUAUCAGCUAUGAAUAGGAACUGAAGGUCCAGAUUGAAGGGCAACAGAACUGGCAGGUGGAGAUGGAAGCAGCCUCCUGGGGGCUGUGUCAAGCUUCUCCAUUCUCCAUCCUGUAAAGGACAAAGGACACUUCCUACACAGUACCCACACAGAAGAGCUGAUGGGAGGGUUAGCCUGUGAGGACGAGAGAGUGAAGAUGAGGGCAAAGGGUUUGCCAGUUAAUAAUUCUGCAUGUUUCUUGGGCCCCAGCCAGCUAGCUGGUAUCCUCUUCCAAAGCAGGCUGGGACCUUGGCUGAAGGAACCAGGGCUGGAAAGACAUCGGGCUGGCAGAGGGGAGAGACUGCAUGCAAACAUUCUUUGUAUCUUCUGCAAUUUGAGAGUUGGCCUGGAACCCUGAAAGUCAGGGCCAAUGUCUGAUCCAUCAGUGGGUAACCAGUGCCUACAUACUAUGGGUAUCAUUCACUGUUCAUUGAACUGAACAAAAGAAACUUAGGAACGGGGAAAGGGAUGUGAUAGAACCUGCAGGAAAAGCUCCGGAGAGAAAGGAGAGGCUUUUUGUUAGGGGGCAAACCAGGGGAUGCUAUCAAGAUGGAGGAAAGGGAGUUAGCAAGAUCCAGAAGACACGUGAGAAGGACCAAGAGGGGAAUGAGAAGCUUAUAAUUCUAUUAGUACUUUUUCUGGCAAGGAUGAAGCCAGCUGCAUUCCCUAUGUUCGAAUGUUUCCAUCCUGUCAGGUAAGUUCUAUGAUCACCUCUUAAUAGAUAAAAAAAAAACUGGAAUCAGAGGUUGAAGGCUUUGCUCAAGGUCACAGACCGGGUAAGGUGAAAGCAACACAGGUGUUUCAGGCUGAGGAAAAAGCACAGACAAAGGAAUGGAUAUAGGAAAACACAGGACAGGUAGAGAAUUGCAAGGGAUUCUGUUUGGCUAAAGCAACAGUCCCCAACCUUUUUGGCACCAGGGACCAGUUUCGUUUUGUGGAAGACAAUUUUUCCAAGGAUGGGGGCUUGUGGUGAUGUGGGGGGCAAGGGGCAGGGGGAUGGUUUCAGGAGGAAACUGUUCCACCUCAGAUCAUCAGGCAUUCAUUAGAUUCUCAUAAGGAGUGCACAGCCUAGAUCCCUUGCAUGCACAGUUCACAAUAGGGUUCCCACUCCUAUGAGAAUCUAAUGCUGCUGCUGACCUGUCAGAAGGCGGAGCUCAGGCAUUAAUGCUUGCUGACUUGCCCACCACUCACCUUCUGCUGUGCGGCCUGGUUCCUAACAGGUCACAGACCAGUACUGGUCCAUGGCCCAGGGGUUGGGGACCCUUGGGCUAAAGGAUAUGGCUAACGAAAGGCCUUCAUAUGAUAGAAGGUUAAUGAGUGGCCCCAGAUCAUGAAAUGUUUUGAAUUUUAAAAAAUGAGUUUACUUUAUAUUGGGGUGUCUCUGAAGAUUUUUUUUUUUUUUUUUGCGACAGAGUCUCACUCUGUCGCCCAGGCUGGAGUGCAGUGGUGCGAUCUUGGCUCACUGCAAGCUCCGCCUCCUGGGUUCACACCAUUCUCCUGCCUCAGCCUCCCGAGUAGCUGGGACUACAGGUGCUCGCCACCACACCCGGCUAAUUUUUUGUAUUUUCAGUAGAGACAGGGUUUCACUGUGUUAGCCAGGAUGGUCUCGAUCUCCUGACCUUGUGAUCCGCCCGCCUCGACCUCCCAAAGUGUUGGGAUUACAGGCGUGAGCCACCACGCCCGGCCCGUCUCUGAAGAUUUUAAGUGGCAGGCUGAUAUGAUCCCCACUGUAUUUUAAAAAGACAAACUUGGGGACGGGCAUAGUGGUUCACACUUGUAAUCCCAACAAUUUGGGAGGCCAAGGUGGGUGGAUCAAUUGAGGUCAGGAGUUAGAGACCAGCCUGGACCAACAUGGUGAAACCCAAUCUCUACUAAAAAUACAAAAUUAGGUGGGUGUGGUGGCGUGUGCCUGUAGUCCCAGCUACUUAGAAAGCUGAGGCAGGAGAAUCGCUUGAACCUGGGAGGUGGAGGUUGCAGUGAACCAAGAUCAUACCACUGCACUCCAGCCUGGGCGACAGAGCAAGACUGUCUCAGAAGAAAGAAAGAAAAAAAGACAAACUUGGCAACAGCAAGGUAUAUUAUCAAGAGGAAAGCAGAAGAAGGCAGGGAUAUCAGCUGGGAGCCAGCUCAGAGGUCUGGGUGUGACAUAACAAAGGCCUGACCUAGAAGAAUGGCAGUGAGAAGGAAGAAAAGGGGAUACAACAGAAAGAGGACCCAGAACUGACAGCAGAUGUCCAGAUGGAUAACUCAGGUGGGACAGGAUGAAGAAAAUGAAUGCAGUUUGGGACAUCCUGAGUUUGAGGUGAGCCUUGAGCAAAAGGUAAUUUCACUGCCCAACUCUGCAAAGAGCACCAGGGAGUCGAGGUUGCCAGCCACACUCACCGCUGGUAGGGAUGCAUGGAAGCCGACUUGAUGUUGGUUUUUAUUCCACUUGGCAUUUUCCCUGAAAGGAACAUUAAAAAAGUCAUCUUAAGCAAGGUAAGACUUUCAUGACAAAUCAGAAAUGUGGUACCUCAGGUUCCCUCUGUCACUUCCUUUAUCAUCUCAGAACCUCUGCGGCAUCUGACCCUGUUUGACAGAGGUCAGAAGUAUGAUUCUUCACCCAGCUGUCUCCCUGAAGGUGUCCAGGAGGAAAGAAGUGACAUGGGAGAAUAGUCUGUUCAUCCACUCCUAGAACAGAUAGCUAAACCUGUGUGACUCCCAUUUAACGUCACAGGUAAAAGAGUACUAUGUUCUCUCAUUGUUUUUCUUUUUUUAUAUCAUAAUAAGUGCAGAAUCUCUCUUUAAUUGUCCCUUUUCCUAGACAGCUUGGAGGAAAUAACUCUUCUAGCUGCCUGCAUCUAGACUGUUCUAAAAAUGAGUAGGAGAGAAGGCAGGAAGCCAAGAGCAAGAGAGGCAGGAUACAGAGAAAAGAAUACAUGUAGGACUGGAAAACUGGCCUGCGUGUCAAUUCCUGAUGCACCUACCAAAUGGUCUUAAGAUCUGACUGCUGAUUUCUCUACCUAACAAGAGACACUGACAACAUAUCUAAUACCAGAAUAAAUGGGAUAGAAGGAUAGUUGACACAGAGAUGUGAGAUGCGGAUGAGAAAUUGGAGCAGUUUCUGUUACUCAAAGUUCUUCCUCACUCUCUGGUGCCUGUUGCAGAGUCUCAGAUGAGAUUUUUUUACUUCUGAAAAUUAUUUCCUGGGUCACAGUGAAAAGGAGAAAUAGAGAAAACCUCUAGGUCUAGAGAUGCUGGAGGCCCAGAUAAUCUAGCUUAUUCCCUCCCACUCCUGCUCAAAGUCAGCUUCAUUUCAACCCCUGCCACCUUACCUGGUUGACCUGCCUGAGCCAUUUGUACCCCACUGAGCAUUGGCUGCUGCUGGCUUGGAGCUCCUGCCAUCUGCACCUGCUGUAAUCCUGAGGUUCCUGCAAGGAUCGUCCCAGCUCCUGGCUGGCCUGCCUGGCCAGGACCACUGCUGCCUGAAGGUCUCCAAUUAGAUAGUCCUUUCCCAAAGGCAACAGCUGCCACCAAGGCAUUAGUGUCUGUAGGGUUAAAGGUCUGCUUGUUCGGCCGGAGACCUGAAGAAAAAGUAAUGGGGAUCCUGAAGUAUGCUUCUGAUGCAGGACUGAACGUGGCAGCUGGAAGACCAGUAUGAGUGCCAGGGUUUGGAGUUCUGAAUUCAGCAACAUCUAGACUCCCUCACAGCCCAGAAAAAGAGCCAGAGGACCCCCAAGCCUAUCUCAGAAUUCUCUCUUCUUACUUUGCCCAUUUCCUCCACUGCUUCAGUGCUGGCCUUAAAUACAAAAGGCUAACAGAAUGGAUACAAACCCCAAAGCAGUUCACCCUUGUGUCCUAACUUCACUACUUCCAAAACAACCAUUCCCAUUCCAGUGAUCUUAUAUACCUCUCCUUCUCUGUUUAGCCACCAGUCCCAUCAUACCUCCACUCUCUGAUUCUCGCUCCUCUUUGCUGAUUUUCUCCAGAAGGUUUGAACACAUUUUAUUCAAGCUCUGGAUCUGCUUCUGUAACACACAAAUUUGUGCAGAGAUUAGGGUAACUAGGAAACGAUAUGGAGAAAUUUAUUCCUUGGGUUCUGCCAGAAGCAACUUAGGCGCAACCAACUAUGUAUCCCUACUAGACAGGAAUGGUAAUGCCUAGCUUCUCAUGAUGGGAUGGGGAUGGGGCAGCAAGGCAGUGACUCAGUCCAACCUGGGCUGCAUCUGCACCAAUGCGGGCAGCAUCUGUCGUCAGUUGCUUCUCCUGUUCUUCCACUUCAGGGUCAGGCUUGGUUCUCAGAUGGUCAGGGACUACCUCAUGGCUGAAAACAGGCACCCGUCCUUCAGUCUGCCGCUGUAACACACAGAUUUUAUUGAUCCUACUCUGUACUCCAAGAAGAUUCUAUCUGGCCUGACAUAAAGUCCCAUCCACAGGCAAACAGUGCAUUUUCAAGGAAAAUACAACCUGAGACAUAAUAUCUAGUUUGCUAGGACACACUCUCCUUUACUCCAUCCUUCAUUUUUUGUGUCUUCUCACAUCCCUAUCUCUACCAGACCUAGGGGCAAAUUAAACUAUCACUGUCUGCCACGCUUCAAAGACUGGAAUAGACAAAGUCACAAAAGGGCAAACUUUGUGGCUUGAGACAGAUGUUGGAGAAGAAAGGUAUCAGCCUUGGUGACAUACCCCUCAGGUUAUUACAGCACUAUUUGGGAGUGGCUCUCCCGCCUUCAGAAGAACAAAAAGCAAGGCCUCCAAAAUUAUUUCUAGGCUCUCAGCUAAUAACUUAAUUUCCCUAAAUACUAAAGAAGCCUAAAAAACCCCUUAAUUUCCCAAGUUGUAUUCUUUUUCUCCUCUUACCAUGAGAUCUUCAUCUCGGUCUGGAGACAACACCAGAGGAAUGAUGACCUGGUUACGGAACAGCGGUGUUUUUUCAUGCUUCAAGACCUUGUUCAGAGUGUUCAGCUGUCCAGAAAGCAAGGCAAAGCUGUCCAGGACAGAUGGCCUGGUGGUGGUAACAAGGUGUACACCCUACACUCCCUCACUGAGACAUUUUCGACAGACCUAAUGCCAGGAGAUCAUUCUCUCAUGUGCACCUCUGUAGCACAUGCACUCCAGCUUCCUCCAUCCUAGCAUCUGUGAGCCUGGCUGUCUUGUCAGUCUCUGGGAAAUCUGCCUACUCAUGAAGACUUCUCUGAACACCAGUCCUGCUCUCCCCUUUCCCUCCCCCAACCAACGACUCCAGCUUUCCAUCUGCUCUCAUCAUUUUGUUUCAACCUUCUCCUUGCUGAAUUAAUAUGCAAUCAUCUAUCUCUGUGUCAAUAUUCCCGUGCCUCUUUCACAAGCUCAGUCAACCCAUUAACAUUUAUUGAGACUACCAGCUGCAAGAAACUAAGUGACAAAUGAAAAACAAAAACCACACAUGCUUCUAAGCACUGGACAAACAAAUUAAAAUGCUGGGGGUCUGCAAAGCAUUUCCUUCCCAUCGGUGGUCUCCUGUUUUACUCCAUUUCUUCACCCUUAACAACUAUAGGGCACAGGCUGGGAAGAGGGAUGCAAAACUGUCUUGCAAACCUGCCUGACAGAAACUUGAUCCCGGGUUCCACCAUGGCCUCUGAUUAUAAGCUGCUUAGCUUUCAGCCAUCGCGGCCCACAAUUCCCUCACUGCUUGGGCUUCUUUCCAAUUAGAUCCCCUGCUAUAUCGGCAACCAACAGCCUCCAUCCAGCAGCUUAGGACAGGGCCUGAGCCAACCCACCACCUUCUUGAGCCGUCUUCCUUGGACUGCAUCUCAGCCUCCCCGUAUUACAACCUAAUCCUUUCCCACGCCAAGCAAACAGGUGCUGCCUCCUCCCUCCGGAUUUAGCCCGACUGUCUCCUGUCAGGCAAGCUCCACCCCCACCUCUAAUCGCCGCCGCUCCCGCUCCAAUUAGCCUCGCCCCCCAGCCCACAUUCCCUUAUCAGCCGUGGGUUCUGCCCUCUCUUCUCAGUCCCAACUCUUCAUUCUCCUUAGCCAGCCCACUCUCGGUCCCUGUACCCGAAGCUUGC
rnacentral:lncRNA from 10 species